GAUGAACGCUGGCGGCGUGCUUAACACAUGCGAGUCUAACGAUGAAGCCCAGCUUGCUGGGUGGAUUAGUGGCGAACGGGUGAGUAACACGUGAGUAACCUGCCCUUAACUCUGGGAUAAGCCUGGGAAACUGGGUCUAAUACCGGAUAGGAGCGCCUACCGCAUGGUGGGUGUUGGAAAGAUUUAUCGGUUUUGGAUGGACUCGCGGCCUAUCAGCUUGUUGGUGAGGUAAUGGCUCACCAAGGCGACGACGGGUAGCCGGCCUGAGAGGGUGACCGGCCACACUGGGACUGAGACACGGCCCAGACUCCUACGGGAGGCAGCAGUGGGGAAUAUUGCACAAUGGGCGAAAGCCUGAUGCAGCGACGCCGCGUGAGGGAUGACGGCCUUCGGGUUGUAAACCUCUUUCAGUAGGGAAGAAGCGAAAGUGACGGUACCUGCAGAAGAAGCACCGGCUAACUACGUG
rnacentral:rRNA from 1 species